rnacentral:rRNA from 2 species
GUCGAACGAACUCUGGUAUUGAUUGGUGCUUGCAUCAUGAUUUACAUUUGAGUGAGUGGCGAACUGGUGAGUAACACGUGGGAAACCUGCCCAGAAGCGGGGGAUAACACCUGGAAACAGAUGCUAAUACCGCAUAACAACUUGGACCGCAUGGUCCGAGCUUGAAAGAUGGCUUCGGCUAUCACUUUUGGAUGGUCCCGCGGCGUAUUAGCUAGAUGGUGGGGUAACGGCUCACCAUGGCAAUGAUACGUAGCCGACCUGAGAGGGUAAUCGGCCACAUUGGGACUGAGACACGGCCCAAACUCCUACGGGAGGCAGCAGUAGGGAAUCUUCCACAAUGGACGAAAGUCUGAUGGAGCAACGCCGCGUGAGUGAAGAAGGGUUUCGGCUCGUAAAACUCUGUUGUUAAAGAAUAACAUAUCUGAUAGU